CCUACGGUGUGCUGCAGUGAGGAAUAUUGGUCAAUGGACGAGAGUCUGAACCAGCCAAGUCGCGUGAAGGAUGACUGCCCUAUGGGUUGUAAACUUCUUUUAUAUGGGAAUAAAAUAUUCCACGCGUGGGAUUUUGUAUGUACCCUAUGAAUAAGGAUCGGCUAACUCCGUGCCAGCAGCCGCGGUAAUACGGAGGAUACGAGCGUUAUACGGAUUUAUUGGGUUUAAAGGGAGCGUAGGUGGAUUGUUAAGUCAGUUGUAAACUUUUGCGGCUCAACCGUAAAAUUGCAGUUGAAACUGGCAGUAUUGAGUACAGUAGAGGUAGGCGGAAUGCGUGGUGUAGCGGUGAAAUGCUUAGAUAUCACGAAGAACUCCGAUUGCGAAGGCAGCUCACUGGACUACAACUGACACUGAGGCACGAAAGUGUGGGGAUCAAACAGGAUUAGAUACCCCUGUAGUC
rnacentral:rRNA from 1 species